rnacentral:rRNA from 1 species
UACGAAGGGUGCAAGCGUUACUCGGAAUUACUGGGCGUAAAGCGUGCGUAGGCGGUUCGUUAAGUCUGUCGUGAAAGCCCUGGGCUCAACCUGGGAAUUGCGAUGGAUACUGGCGGGCUAGAGUACGGUAGAGGAUGGUGGAAUUCCCGGUGUAGCGGUGAAAUGCAUUGAUAUCGGGAGGAACUCCAACAGCGAAGGCAGGUCACUGGGCGUUUCCUGACGCUGAGGCGCGAAAGCGUGGGUAGCAAAC